rnacentral:rRNA from 1 species
CUGGGGGACGAGUGGCGAACGGGUGAGUAAUGUAUCGGAACGUGCCCAGUUGUGGGGGAUAACUGCUCGAAAGAGCAGCUAAUACCGCAUACGACCUGAGGGUGAAAGCGGGGGAUCGCAAGACCUCGCGCAAUUGGAGCGGCCGAUAUCAGAUUAGGUAGUUGGUGGGGUAAAGGCCCACCAAGCCAACGAUCUGUAGCUGGUCUGAGAGGACGACCAGCCACACUGGGACUGAGACACGGCCCAGACUCCUACGGGAGGCAGCAGUGGGGAAUUUUGGACAAUGGGCGCAAGCCUGAUCCAGCCAUGCCGCGUGCGGGAAGAAGGCCUUCGGGUUGUAAACC